GACGAACGCUGGCGGCGUGCUUAACACAUGCAAGUCGAACGGAAAGGCCCUGCUUUUGUGGGGUGCUCGAGUGGCGAACGGGUGAGUAACACGUGAGUAACCUGCCCUUGACUUUGGGAUAACUUCAGGAAACUGGGGCUAAUACCGGAUAGGAGCUCCUGCUGCAUGGUGGGGGUUGGAAAGUUUCGGCGGUUGGGGAUGGACUCGCGGCUUAUCAGCUUGUUGGUGGGGUAGUGGCUUACCAAGGCUUUGACGGGUAGCCGGCCUGAGAGGGUGACCGGCCACAUUGGGACUGAGAUACGGCCCAGACUCCUACGGGAGGCAGCAGUGGGGAAUAUUGCACAAUGGGCGGAAGCCUGAUGCAGCAACGCCGCGUGCGGGAUGACGGCCUUCGGGUUGUAAACCGCUUUCGCCUGUGACGAAGCGUGAGUGACGGUAAUGGGUAAAGAAGCACCGGCUAACUACGUGCCAGCAGCCGCGGUGAUACGUAGGGUGCGAGCGUUGUCCGGAUUUAUUGGGCGUAAAGGGCUCGUAGGUGGUUGAUCGCGUCGGAAGUGUAAUCUUGGGGCUUAACCCUGAGCGUGCUUUCGAUACGGGUUGACUUGAGGAAGGUAGGGGAGAAUGGAAUUCCUGGUGGAGCGGUGGAAUGCGCAGAUAUCAGGAGGAACACCAGUGGCGAAGGCGGUUCUCUGGGCCUUUCCUGACGCUGAGGAGCGAAAGCGUGGGGAGCGAACAGGCUUAGAUACCCUGGUAGUCCACGCUGUAAACGGUGGGUACUAGGUGUGGGGUCCAUUCCACGGGUUCCGUGCCGUAGCUAACGCUUUAAGUACCCCGCCUGGGGAGUACGGCCGCAAGGCUAAAACUCAAAGGAAUUGACGGGGCCCCGCACAAGCGGCGGAGCAUGCGGAUUAAUUCGAUGCAACGCGUAGAACCUUACCUGGGUUUGACAUGGAUCGGGAGUACUCAGAGAUGGGUGUGCCUCUUUUGGGGUCGGUUCGCAGGUGGUGCAUGGCUGUCGUCAGCUCGUGUCGUGAGAUGUUGGGUUAAGUCCCGCAACGAGCGCAACCCUUGUUCACUGUUGCCAGCACGUUAUGGUGGGGACUCAGUGGAGACCGCCGGGGUCAACUCGGAGGAAGGUGGGGAUGACGUCAAGUCAUCAUGCCCCUUAUGUCCAGGGCUUCACGCAUGCUACGAUGGCUGGUACAGAGAGUGGCGAGCCUGUGAGGGUGAGCGAAUCUCGAAAAGCCGGUCUCAGUUCGGAUUGGGGUCUGCAACUCGACCUCAUGAAGUCGGAGUCGCUAGUAAUCGCAGAUCAGCAACGCUGCGGUGAAUACGUUCCCGGG
rnacentral:rRNA from 1 species